ACAGGAUACAAAUGGGCAAAUGGCUUGACUUUGACACUACAGCUGCUCUCUACGCGUUUUCCAAAUUGCUUAUGGACCAAAAGAAGAAAAUGCGUACAGUUUUUCUUUUGUGUCUUGGUACAUAACAAUGCUUAGAUUGGUUUGGAGGAUAGGGUUCAAGGUAUAUGUCUUCCUUGAAGUCAUACUAUCUUCUUUUUCUUGAAUAAUCCAAUUGUUU
rnacentral:lncRNA from 1 species